UGUCAGGGUGCACUGUCCCGAUAACCCAGGU
rnacentral:piRNA from 1 species